AAAAGAAACCAACAGGGAUUGCCCCAGUAACGGCGAGUGAAGCGGCAACAGCUCAAAUUUGAAAUCUGGCCCUCGGGUCCGAGUUGUAAUUUGUAGAGGAUGCUUUUGGCGAGGUGCCUUCCGAGUUCCCUGGAACGGGACGCCAUAGAGGGUGAGAGCCCCGUCUGGUCGGACACCGAGCCUCUGUAAAGCUCCUUCGACGAGUCGAGUAGUUUGGGAAUGCUGCUCAAAAUGGGAGGUAUAUGUCUUCUAAAGCUAAAUAUUGGCCAGAGACCGAUAGCGCACAAGUAGAGUGAUCGAAAGAUGAAAAGCACUUUGAAAAGAGGGUUAAAAAGUACGUGAAAUUGUUGAAAGGGAAGCGCUUAUGACCAGACUUGCGCCCGGUGAAUCAUCCAGCGUUCUCGCUGGUGCACUUUGCCGGGCACAGGCCAGCAUCAGUUUGGCGCGGGGGAAAAAGGCUUCGGGAAUGUGGCUCCCUCGGGAGUGUUAUAGCCCGCUGCGUAAUACCCUGCGCCGGACUGAGGUACGCGCAUCGCAAGGAUGCUGGCGUAAUGGUCAUCAGCGACCCGUCUUGAAACACGGACCAAGGAGUCGUCUUCGUAUGCGAGUGUUCGGGUGUCAAACCCCUACGCGUAAUGAAAGUGAACGUAGGUGAGAGCUUCGGCGCAUCAUCGACCGAUCCUGAUGUUCUCGGAUGGAUUUGAGUAAGAGCAUACGGGGCCGGACCCGAAAGAAGGUGAACUAUGCCUGUAUAGGGUGAAGCCAGAGGAAACUCUGGUGGAGGCUCGCAGCGGUUCUGACGUGCGAAUCGAUCGUCAAAUAUGGGCAUGGGGGCGAAAGACUAAUCGA
rnacentral:rRNA from 1 species